GGGGCAGCAUGGUCUUAGCUUGCUAAGGCCGAUGGCGACCGGCGCACGGGUGAGUAACACGUAUCCAACCUGCCGUCUACUCUUGGACAGCCUUCUGAAAGGAAGAUUAAUACAAGAUGGCAUCAUGAGUCCGCAUGUUCACAUGAUUAAAGGUAUUCCGGUAGACGAUGGGGAUGCGUUCCAUUAGAUAGUAGGCGGGGUAACGGCCCACCUAGUCUUCGAUGGAUAGGGGUUCUGAGAGGAAGGUCCCCCACAUUGGAACUGAGACACGGUCCAAACUCCUACGGGAGGCAGCAGUGAGGAAUAUUGGUCAAUGGGCGAGAGCCUGAACCAGCCAAGUAGCGUGAAGGAUGACUGCCCUAUGGGUUGUAAACUUCUUUUAUAAAGGAAUAAAGUCGGGUAUGGAUACCCGUUUGCAUGUACUUUAUGAAUAAGGAUCGGCUAACUCCGUGCCAGCAGCCGCGGUAAUACGGAGGAUCCGAGCGUUAUCCGGAUUUAUUGGGUUUAAAGNGGAGCGUAGAUGGAUGUUUAAGUCCAGUUGUGAAAGUUUGCGGCUCAACCGUAAAAUUGCAGUUGAUACUGGAUAUCUUGAGUGCAGUUGAGGCAGGCGGAAUUCGUGGUGUAGCGGUGAAAUGCUUAGAUAUCACGAAGAACUCCGAUUGCGAAGGCAGCCUGCUAAGCUGCAACUGACAUUGA
rnacentral:rRNA from 1 species